CGUCACUUCCGGCCAAGUUGGAGCGCGAAAAAGAUUCCUGGUCAUUGGAGCUUCAGUCCCCGUCUGAAUGGGAUUUGUUUAUGGUCUGCUGUUUUCCUCUUCUCUUAGGAAAUCUCGACUUUCUAUACUUGGAAAUACAUACAUAUCAAAUGACUGAAGAAAAAUGGAGAGCUUUUCUUAUACGGGAUUGAGCUGCACGUGCAGGCCUACACCACAACCACAGCAACACCAGAUCUGAGCCAUGUCUAUGACCUACACCACAGCUCAUGGCAACACCAGAUUCUUAACCUACUGAGCAAGGCAAGGGAUCAAACCCACAUUUUCAUAGAGACAACGUCCGGUCCUUAAUAUGCUGAGCCACAAUGCAACCCCAAGGUUUUUGAUUUUGUUUUGUUUUUAGACAAUGACUUGUUCUGUGCUCACUCUGUUCCAGUCAGGGACCAGCCAAAAGCUUAAUAUAUUUCAUUAUUUCAUCCUUACAACAACCCCAUGAGCUAAGGGUGGAUACUUCUAUUAUCCCCAUUUUUAGCAGAGGGCGAGGGUCUCCUGCCUAUCCCAUGGUUGGUAAGUAGGGGGCCCAGGGAUUCCAAAAAGCUUUUUGUGGGGAUUAAGUGAAUUGAUAUUUUUAAUGUACUUAUCACUGCCUGGCCCAUAGAAAAUAUUAUCUAAAUGUUAGCAGUUAUUGUAAUGAUUUUAGAAGAUCCUCUCCCAGUUCUUUCUCUCCUACUGACAGAGCUAGAGUUUUCACCUCUUUCUACCCCUACUUUGAACAAACCUGAGAAGACCUGUGUUCACUCCUUUCCUAGCAGGGCCAACAGAUUCUGGUGAAGUAAAGCUUCUCUAGUCAACAUGAUUUAUAAGGAAUAAGAAGAGAGAGAAAGCAGCUUCUCAGAAUAUGGAGGGGGUUGGUGACUCCAGUAGGGUGAAAAGUGGACUGUAGGAAUUAUUGGUGAGAAGGGAGAGAGCACAGAAAAUCAGAGCCCUGUGCUUGGCCUCCAGAAGCCUCAGUUAGCAAAGAGGGCCCCCCCCUUCCAAUUACAGCCAUCCCUUGGUAUCCCCCAGGGAUUGGUUCCAGGAUCCCUAUGGGUACCAAGGUCCACAGAUGCUCAAGUUCCUCACAUAAAAUGGCAUUGUAUUUGCAUAUAACCUAUGCAUGUGCUCCCAUAUACUUUAAAUCAUC